rnacentral:rRNA from 1 species
GACGAACGCUGGCGGCGUGCCUAAUACAUGCAAGUCGAGCGGAUCUUCAUUAGCUUGCUCCCUGAAAUUAGCGGCGGACGGGUGAGUAACACGUGGGCAACCUGCCUAUAAGACUGGGAUAACUUCGGGAAACCGGAGCUAAUACCGGAUAAUUCUUUUCUACACAUGCAGGAAAGCUGAAAGACGGUUUACGCUGUCACUUAUAGAUGGGCCCGCGGCGCAUUAGCUAGUUGGUGAGGUAACGGCUCACCAAGGCGACGAUGCGUAGCCGACCUGAGAGGGUGAUCGGCCACACUGGGACUGAGACACGGCCCAGACUCCUACGGGAGGCAGCAGUAGGGAAUCUUCCGCAAUGGACGAAAGUCUGACGGAGCAACGCCGCGUGAGUGAUGAAGGUUUUCGGAUCGUAAAACUCUGUUGUUAGGGAAGAAUAAGUACUAGAGUAACUGCUAGUACCUUGACGGUACCUAACCAGAAAGCCACGGCUAACUACGUGCCAGCAGCCGCCGUAAAAC